rnacentral:rRNA from 1 species
UACGUAGGGGGCAAGCGUUACUCGGAAUUACUGGGCGUAAAGGGUGGGUAGGCUGCUGAGCAAGUCAAGGAUGAAAGCCCGAGGCUCAACUUCGGAAUUGUCCUUGAAACUGCUCAGCUUGAGGGUAGUUGAGGAGAGUGGAAUUCCCGGUGGAGCGGUGGAAUGCGUAGAUAUCGGGAGGAACACCUGAGGCGAAGGCGGCUCUCUAAUCUAUUCCUGACGCUGGAUCACGAAAGCUAGUGGUUCAAACGGG